rnacentral:rRNA from 1 species
CCUACGGGAGGCUGCAGUGAGGAAUAUUGGUCAAUGGACGAGAGUCUGAACCAGCCAAGUAGCGUGAAGGAUGACUGCCCUAUGGGUUGUAAACUUCUUUUAUAUGGGAAUAAAAUGUUCCACGUGUGGGAUUUUGUAUGUACCAUAUGAAUAAGGAUCGGCUAACUCCGUGCCAGCAGCCGCGGUAAUACGGAGGAUCCGAGCGUUAUCCGGAUUUAUUGGGUUUAAAGGGAGCGUAGGUGGAUUGUUAAGUCAGUUGUGAAAGGUUGCGGCUCAACCGUAAAAUUGCAGUUGAAACUGGCAGUCUUGAGUACAGUAGAGGUGGGCGGAAUUCGUGGUGUAGCGGUGAAAUGCUUAGAUAUCACGAAGAACUCCGAUGGCGAAGGCAGCUCACUGGACUGCAACUGACACUGAGGCUCGAAAGUGUGGGUAUCAAACAGGAUUAGAUACCCGUGUAGUC